UACAGAGGUCCCAAGCGUUGUUCGGAUUCACUGGGCGUAAAGGGUGCGUAGGCGGUCGGGUAAGUCUGAUGUGAAAUCUCACAGCUUAACUGUGAAACUGCAUUGGAUACUAUCCGGCUAGAGGAAUGGAGGGGAGACUGGAAUACUUGGUGUAGCAGUGAAAUGCGUAGAUAUCAAGUGGAACACCAGUGGCGAAGGCGAGUCUCCGGACAUUUCCUGACGCUGAGGCACGAAAGCGUGGGGAGCAAACAGG
rnacentral:rRNA from 1 species